GCCUCUAUAGCUCAGUGGUAGAGCGCGUCACUCGUACCGAUACAUAAUAUCGUAAUAUGCGAUAUGACGAGGUCCAUCGUUCGAUCCGGUGUGGAGGCA
rnacentral:tRNA from 1 species